CUUCUUCCUGGGACUGCCUUUCAAAGCACAGCCUCUUCUUGGCUCAGCCACUGGAGCCUACAGUCAAGAGAUGCAUUCCCCACCUUCAAGUCCAGCUCUGUAAGUCCAUUCUCAAGCCUGAACCUAGCACUUCAGCUCCUUUCUUUUCAAGGAAAAGAGAUCAUCCACUAACAGUCUAAGGUUUUUCUGUGCAAACUAUGACCCUGGUUUUUCAAGCUAUAUCUAAAUUUUACUAACAGAUAGGUUUUCAUCUUUUAGACCAAUUGCUCCAUGACUAUAUUGAUUGAUUCAUCCAUUGCCUUAUUACCAAACAUCUAUUGAGUACCCAUCCCACACCAGACACUGAAUUAGCAGAGAAUCCAUUUUCCUCUAUAUUGACUUAUUUUUAUAAAACACAAGCUCUGAAACCAGUGACUUGAAUAAGAUGGACUUUUUAUUUUUCUAUGUAAAACAAAUCCAGGAAUAAUCAAUCCAAGUUCAUGAAGCCUUUACAAACCAAAGCUCCUUCUUAGUUUCUACUCUGCCUUCUGCAAAGCAAUCAUCAUGGUCCAAAAUGGCUCCUAAGGCACCAGCCUUCACAUUUGUAUCUCACAUAACAGGAUGGAGGGAAAAUACAGGAAAGGAAUAGACAGCUCCUUUAAAGUAGCACACCACUUUUGCUACAGGAGGUGGGCCAAACUGUCAUCUCUUGGCUAUAAUCAGCUGCAAAAACAGAUGCCCUCACUUCUUCCUGGUCUGCAAUGUGUUCACUGGCCACCAGCAUUGUUAUUACAAAGUAAGGAAGGAAGACAAGGUACUGGGAUUCCACUAGCCAUCUCUGCAACAAUAUGCUUACCUCAUCCUCUAAGAAGUUAUUCUGGCCACCGGCCUUUCUUCUAAUCUGGCUUCUUCCUGGGACUGCCUUUCAAAGCACAGCCUCUUCUUGGCUCAGCCACUGGAGCCUACAGUCAAGAGAUGCAUUCCCCACCUUCAAGUCCAGCUCUGUAAGUCCAUUCUCAAGCCUGAACCUAGCACUUCAGCUCCUUUCUUUUCAAGGAAAAGAGAUCAUCCACUAACAGUCUAAGGUUUUUCUGUGCAAACUAUGACCCUGGUUUUUCAAGCUAUAUCUAAAUUUUACUAACAGAUAGGUUUUCAUCUUUUAGACCAAUUGCUCCAUGACUAUAUUGAUUGAUUCAUCCAUUGCCUUAUUACCAAACAUCUAUUGAGUACCCAUCCCACACCAGACACUGAAUUAGCAGAGAAUCCAUUUUCCUCUAUAUUGACUUAUUUUUUAUAAAACACAAGCUCUGAAACCAGCAGCAAAAGUGGAUUAAGGAUUGAUCACUCUUUUUCUUACCCAGAACACAUUGCCACGUGAAACAAGGGAUCACUGUGUACUUUCACAAUGCCUCCCAGGCUAAUAUUUCAAUAUUUCAAGACAGUUAUAGCACAUUUCCUUAUUUAUCUCCCUGACUCUUUCAACUCCUGGGUUUCAGUUGUUGGCAGGUAGACUUUGGCACCUUCCUGUGGAUAUUCUUACACACCUUCCAGCAGGAAUAGCUUCAAAGAAUCAGUCUAUUUACUGUUACUGAUUAUGCAACCCAUCAUCCUGACAACCAUAACACUACUUCCUGGAAUUAUGAGAACACACUGUACUGAACUGUCAAUUGGUGGAAAGAAGUUUAAAAAUAAUUUCUCCAGAAAAUAGUUUAUGAUAAAUCGAAAGCAAUUUAAAGUAUUUCUUACAUCAAGUGAUGCUUAAAUAUAUUUCAAUAAUCUAAAGCAGACAAGUCAUAGAAAAUAUUUUAGAAAACAAUAGAGUGAUUUAAUAUAGGCCUUUAGUUUCAAUGAGAUCAGAUUCCUGGCAAUGAGGUCAAAUUCUUGGCAAAUCACCAAAUGUGUAAAUUCAGAUACGAGUUUCCAUUCAAACAUGGGGAUCUGAAGGUAAAAAGUGGCAUUAUCCACUCAAAAUGGGUUAAUUGUAUGAUCUAAAAACCAAACAAGUUAACUUAGACUCUCAUAAUGCUGUUAUAGCAUCUCAAUUGUCUAUUAAUAAAAUCAAAUAUCAAAAAUGUGUGUUUGCUUUUAAGACCUUGAAAACUCCCCUUGUUUCCUCCUUUUCCUCAUUAUCAGAUUUUUUUAAACAAUAAUCUCUAUAUUUUUCACCCACUCUGUCACCACUUGCUCAGUUUUGUCACUCUUAGGACUUGGUAUAUAAUGUACAAUAAGAUUUACUGCAGGAAUAAAUGCAUUGCAAACACACACAUACACAUACAUGUGUUUCUUGUCUUGCCUGCAGUAAGUCUGCCACAAGUCCAGUGACUCUGCAGAACAUUUUCCUUCUGAAGUUUCAGGGAUCUAGAAUGUUCCAUCUCAUGGUUCCAGAAUCUCACUGCAGUAAGUCCUCUACAUAAGAACAAGCUCUGUUCCAAGAGCGUGCUUGUAAGUCCAGGUUGUCUGCAAGUCCAACAGAGUUAGCCUAGGUAUCCAACUAACACAAUCUGCUAUUUCAUACUAUACUGUAAUAGGUUAAUAAUACUUUUCACACAGAUAGUACAUAAAAGACAAACAAAAAAAAAAUUAAGUGCUUUUAAUCUCUCAGUACAGUACCUUGAAAAGUACGGUAGUUCAGUACUACCUGGCAUACAGAGACUGGUAUCGAGUGAAUAGGAAAGAAAUGUUCCUGACUGGAAGAAGGAGAGGAGGUAGGAGAUGGUAGAGUUGAAGAAUCAUCAGCAAUAGGAGAAGGUGGGGCAAGCUGCAAUUACACUUAUGCCUGAUGUUGAUGGAAUGCAUGUUCACAUCUUUGAAAAUUCACAACUUGAAGGUUUGUAUCUAGGGGACUUACUGUACACAGUCUCAUGAGCUCUGUGAGUGGAAAAGGACCAACUGGAACAUCAUACUAUAGAUUUUCAUCACCUCAGCCCAGAAGUGACACACAGAACUUACUUCUCCUCUAUGUUACUGCAUUCUUCAUAACUAAGCACGUGGCUUUGCUGUUUGCAAAAGGGCUGGUAAGUAGAGCUGUUGGUCCUGAAUGAUUCAGAAGACAGAGACUUGACUGCUGGGAAGUUUUAGUAGUGUUUAGCAUACCGAUUUAUUGAAACCAUCCUCUUUACUAUUAAAUAUAACCAUACUUUCCUAGUGCCUUAUAUUUAUUAAUUUUGUUAUCAUUUUCUUCCUGGAAUUAUUAUUUCUGUUCCAAAAUUAGGAUACACUCAGAACCCAUUUGAACUCUUGGCCAAGAUUGCAAGCAUAUUUUUUAAAAAACCAAAACCACAAUGAAAAUGUUACUCUGAGUGUGGCCCCUGUGGUCUGUACCUCAAGAAAUUCAUCUGGAUUCCUCUUCUGGGCUGGCGCCCUAAACCUACUAGCUGUGACGUGGUCUCUCUGCUGGCUAUGAGGCCAGAUGCCCUCACAGUCAGGAAGGACACAGAACAGGAACCCCGCUCCCUGUCAGUGACGUCAGCAUCUGCUUGGGUGCCCACCCCACUCCCACCACACUGCCUUUAUACUUGCAGAUGUGCUGGUUCGUGACAAGACUUUUAUGGAAGUCCCAUCCAUUUUUCAGAGGACAGCAUCAGUAGCUCCAGCCCUCAGAUUCUUGGAAUUCCUGUCCUGCAAGAAUUGCUUCCAACAGUCCUGGACUGUUGUGUGUGAUCCUGACCCAACCCUAAUCAAGUCCCUGUGUCGAAAACUCUCGUCCUCUUAAAUCAACUUCCCACUGUCAAUUGCCUCUGACCUGCCCGCUCUGACUUGGAGGAACUACAGAGCUCCAUGGAAGUGGUGUCCUCCUCUCCCAGGAAGCAAGCACUCAGCUGUGUGUUACCAACAUGACUCGGCACUAAGGUCUAGGGAGCUGGGUAACUAUUUCUUCUCUGGUUUCUGCCUCUUUGCCUCACAAAUUUAGAGUGAUUCUUUCUUUAAAAAUGGCUUCAGUAUCAUAGGAUACCUGUUAUAUGUGGAAUCUAAAAAUAUGAUAUAAAUGAACUUAUUUACAAAACAGGAACAUAUUUACAAAUAUCAAAAUAAAACUUUUGGUUACCAAAGGGGAAACAUGGGUGAGGGGUAAAUCAGCAGCUUGGGAUGAAUACACACACAUUACUAUAUGUAAAAUAGAUAACAACAAGGACCUACUGUAUAGCAGAGAGAAUUCUCCUCAAUAUUCUGUAAUAACCUAUCAUGGAAAAGAAUCUAUAAAAGUCUGUACAGAUACACACACACACACACAUACAUAUAGCUGAACGUGCUGUACACUGGAAACCAAUACAAAACUGUAAAUCAGAUCAAACUCUCACCAUCUUAGAGUAAACAGUUGUGCCUCCCUGGCACAAUCAUUUCAAUAUUCCAGAGCUAUUAAUGUUCAUUCUUUGGAUUCUUUUCAACCAAUUAUAAUCUCUGCCUGGAUUUUUUAUUGGUGGUAUUAGUUUAAUGAAUCUUUAACACAUAUUCAUUUUAUAUCUACAUAAGUGUUAUGAUUUUACCCUUUCGUGAGAUUAACUUUUAACAGAAAUGAGUCCCUCUUUCAUUCUUCCUGGUGUUGGUAUAAAUCCUGGCUACCAAGUUAUAAGUAGAAUGUUGGAUAAACUAGAAAACAAUAAAAGGAGGGUGGCCAAAAUAGUAUGGAAAUGUUGAUACCUGACAUAAAGAACACUUGGAAAAAAU
rnacentral:lncRNA from 1 species